GUGUUUGUCGUAGUUGUGUGUGUCCAUGUAACUAUGAUACCCAGAUAGCAGGGGACUCCGCGCCGGAUCCGUUUUCAAACCGGCAAAUGCGCGUUACAGUCGCAUCCGUUUCACUGCAUUAGUACAGAUCCAGACUGAGUCCGGUUUCAGUGGGAGAACGACGGUCGUUCAGCAGAUGCAGCCCGUAUCUGUGUAACCGAACGCGCGAAGUUUUCUGAAGUGAAGUGGAGGCGGCCCGCAGCGGUGACGUUAUUCCUCAUAAACUCACACAGCGUGUUGUCAAACUGUUCUAUUAAUGAAUUAAUUCUUCAUUUAUUACAUUGCAUAACGUUACAGCUUAACUUAAAGUGGUUGUGAGUUUUUCUGAGUUAGAUCUGUAUGUAACUCGGAUGCUAACUCGUAUGUUAUCAGACCAUGCUAACAUGAAGAUGGCCCAGAUCUUUAAGAAUAUUAUUGACAAAUUUGAACUUUUAUCAAAUUUCACUGCUAGAGUCAAGAUAACACUACACUGUAAGUGUGUGAUGAUUUAACAGUUCGCGAGCCAUUUACUCAAGUAACGUUAAAGAGAAUAUUGAAUGCGCUGUUGAAUGUGUGUUCAUGCUUGAGGGAGAAUUUAUAAUGCGAAUAAUAUAUUGAUCAUUCAAAUUAACAUUAAUGAAAAGAGAUUUUUGUUCCUAGUUUUGAUUGCAGCGUUGAGUAUUACAACACCUGGGAGACAGCGCUUGAGGUAAUGACCAAUCAGAAGUUUAACAACAGAGUCCAGACAGACCUACGAUGUUCCACAAGAGAGCCGGCAAAGGAGUCCUCAUGUUUCAUUGUCCUGUGCACGUUCAUUGUUUGCUGUAUGAGAUGUUGCUGUCUUGUAUGCUGUUCCUUGUUGAAGUCACCUUGUUACCUUGUUCCUGUUUCCUGUUACCCUGAGUUCUAAGACGAGGAAUCACCUUUACUGAGUUCUGGAGUCAGACAGAGGGUUUGCAUUACACUUGGAAAACAACUACCAACUAAAGCCAACAAAGUUUACACAUUUUCCAUCACCAAUGACACAUAAAGCAGCAAUGAUGGUUGAUGUAAGCACUUUGAGUGUUUUGGAACUGAGGAGCCCAACAGCUGCAUUUACAUCCAUUCUUCAAACUAGUAAAUCCAUCAGGGUCAUAGUAUUGACAGGGACAGUAGAGAUGCCCAGACCUCUAGCUGCAGUUUUCUGUAUAGGAUUUUAGCUGCCCAACGGUUUGUGGCCUUGUUGGUCAUUCUUUGUUUCAUAAUUAUUUUAAACAUACAGUACUGGUUAAAAUUUAGCAAACGCUUAUGUUUUUUCACCUUUUAUAGUAAUAAUCUCAUUAAGAAUUUUUUACAAAAAUUAAAAAAAGAAUUUUAAAAUCUUAUAUACUGUAUAGUUGUGGUCAAAAGUUUACACACCCCAUGCAGAGAAAAUGUUGAGAAUGUAAGAAAAGUAGAAGUUAGUUUUUGAAUUAUUACUGCCGUGUUAUUUCACGUAACAUUUAAAUAAUGUUUUUAACACAUAAUUAUCUACAUUUAUCAAAGUAAGCCAGUUGAAGUCUUAACAUACCUGCACGACUGGUUCCUAAUACUGUACGACGUUACCUGAACCCUCAGUGAUUUUUUUAUGUUUUGUAAUAGUUGUUGAUCAAACUGCUGUCUAAAGGAUUUUUCUGUUGAACUGUGGUCAGUUUAAUGUAGUAAAUCCUUCACAAUUUUGCUUUUUCAGCAUCUUCUGCAUUAUUGACCCUUGUUCAUCAGUGACUGAAUGAUGAGAUUCAUCUUUUUAUGCAAAGGGAAAUUGAGAGACUCAUACACAACUGUUACAAAAUAUACAAACAUUUCAUAUUACUCAAGAAGUCAACACUACAUUCAAAAGUCUGGUGCACGUAAACCUUUAGGUAGGGUGACCAGUUUCAAUUGUUUUAUUUUGUUUGAAAUAAUUAAAAAAUAGAUUUAUUUAGU